rnacentral:rRNA from 1 species
UAGGGAAUCUUCGGCAAUGGACGGAAGUCUGACCGAGCAACGCCGCGUGAGUGAAGAAGAUUUUCGGAUCGUAAAGCUCUGUUGUAAGAGAAGAACGAGUGUGAGAGUGGAAAGUUCACACUGUGACGGUAUCUUACCAGAAAGGGACGGCUAACUACGUGCCAGCAGCCGCGGUAAUACGUAGGUCCCGAGCGUUGUCCGGAUUUAUUGGGCGUAAAGCGAGCGCAGGCGGUUAGAUAAGUCUGAAGUUAAAGGCUGUGGCUUAACCAUAGUAGGCUUUGGAAACUGUUUAACUUGAGUGCAAGAGGGGAGAGUGAAAUUCCAUGUGUAGCGGUGAAAUGCGUAGAUAUAUGGAGGAACACCGGUGGCGAAAGCGGCUCUCUGGCUUGUAACUGACGCUGAGGCUCGAAAGCGUGGGGAGCAAACAGGAUUAGAUACCCUGGUAGUCCACGCUGUAAACGAUGAGUGCUAGGUGUUAGACCCUUUCCGGGGUUUAGUGCCGUAGCUAACGCAUUAAGCACUCCGCCUGGGGAGUACGACCGCAAGGUU